rnacentral:rRNA from 1 species
UACGUAGGCAGCGAGCGUUGUUCGGAGUUACUGGGCGUAAAGGGUGUGUAGGCGGUUUCUAAGUUUGGUGUGAAAUCUCCCGGCUCAACCGGGAGGGUGCGCCGAAAACUGGGAGACUAGAGUGCGGGAUGGGAGAGUAGAAUUCCUGGUGUAGCGGUGAAAUGCGUAGAUAUCAGGAGGAAUACCGGUGGUGUAAACGGCUUUCUGGACCGUAGCCUGACGCUGAGACACGAAAGCGUGGGUAGCAAACAGG